rnacentral:rRNA from 1 species
AUGUUGCCUGACAGAAGAGCAUGGAACGAGGAAUUGAUAAGACAAAUCUUUUACCCAUUUGAUGCUGAUGAAUUUUGCAGAAUUAAGAUCCCCAAUGCAGUGGUGGAUGACCGGAUUGCAUGGCAUUAUGAGAGCAAUGGGGUUUUCUCGGUCAAGAGCGCAUACAAAGUGGCUGCCUCCAUUGAACAACAAAACAGGCAUACCCCUGCCAGCUCAUCUAGCUCCCCGGGAGAUCGAAGCAUUUGGGACAUAAUAUGGAAAGCAAAAGUUCCGGAAGAGGUCAAAAUAUUCUGUUGGAGGAUUGCAACGAACACCCUUCCUACAAACAGGUUCCGAAGAACUAUAACACACGAUGCCACAUGCAAUAUCUGCGGCAAUAGAGUGGAAGAUGAGUAUCAUGCUGUGGUAAGGUGCACGAAAAGCAGGGCGCUAAGAUUUGCCAUUAGGAAACUGUGGUAAUUGCCGGCAGAGGAGAAAUUUUGGCACACAGGUGAUGACUGGCUGCAGCUGUUGCUAGGCACGGAACCUGAGGAAUCUCGUCGCAAAAUAAUGUUACUGUUAUGGAGGUGCUGGCACUUGCGGGAUGAUUGUGUGCAUAGUGAAGGCAGAGAAUCUAUUGGGCAAUCAGUGUGCUUCCUACACAAGUACGAGGAAGAUCACCCCAGUUUGGACUAG